UGUGAAGGGCUCAGGGUGGUCUUCCUUGCCUUCCUCACGUUGGUGGUGACUUCUGCAUUUCAAACACAGAUCCAUCAGAGAUGGCCCAGGGGUUUGUAAUGAAUACCAUUCCUUUGUGGGAACCAUUGUGGGAAGAAAUGAUGGUUUAGAAAGGACAGCAAGCUGUUGGACUGACAUGUCACAGUCCCCUGGUUCUUUUAGUGACAGGCAUAUGACAAAUGCUUGAUAAACCCUUGUUGGCUACUUUACCAGUGGAGAUACUUCCCUGCUCAUUGCUCACGUGCUCCUCAGUAGUUACAGUGCUCUGGCCAACUUGCUACAGAAAAGCUGCCGGCCUGCAUUGGCAGAAGUUUCCUCAUCUCAAAGUUCUCUGCACCAGUGAAAUAGCAGGUCCCUACAUACACACAUGUAACACACACACACACGUAAC